rnacentral:rRNA from 1 species
AGCGGCGGACGGGUGAGUAAUACCUGGGGAUCUGCCCAAUCGAGGGGGAUAACAGUUGGAAACGACUGCUAAUACCGCAUACGCCCUACGGGGGAAAGGAGGGGACCUUCGGGCCUUCCGCGAUUGGAUGAACCCAGGCGGGAUUAGCUAGUAGGUGAGGUAAUGGCUCACCUAGGCAACGAUCCCUAGCUGUUCUGAGAGGAUGGACAGCCACACUGGAACUGAGACACGGUCCAGACUCCUACGGGAGGCAGCAGUGGGGAAUAUUGGACAAUGGGGGAAACCCUGAUCCAGCCAUGCCGCGUGUGUGAAGAAGGCCUUCGGGUUGUGAAGCACUUUCAGUGGGGAGGAAAGGUUGUUGGUUAAUACCUAACAGCUGUGACGUUACCCACAGAAGAAGCACCGGCUAACUCCGUGCCAGCAGCCGCGGUAAUACGGAGGGUGCAAGCGUUAAUCGGAAUUACUGGGCGUAAAGCGUGCGCAGGCGGUCUGUUAAGCGAGAUGUGAAAGCCCCGGGCUCAACCUGGGAACUGCAUUUCGAACUGGCAGA